rnacentral:rRNA from 1 species
GACGUAGGGCGCGAGCGUUGUCCGGAUUUAUUGGGCGUAAAGAGCUCGUAGGCGGUCUGUCGCGUCGGCUGUGAAAACCCGGGGCUCAACCCCGGGCCUGCAGUCGAUACGGGCAGACUAGAGUGCGGUAGGGGAGACUGGAAUUCCCGGUGUAGCGGUGAAAUGCGCAGAUAUCGGGAGGAACACCGGUGGCGAAGGCGGUUCUCUGGGCCUUACCUGACGCUGAGGAGCGAAAGCGUGGGGAGCGAACAGG